rnacentral:rRNA from 1 species
GAUGAACGCUGGCGGCGUGCCUAAUACAUGCAAGUCGAGCGAACGGACGAGAAGCUUGCUUCUCUGAUGUUAGCGGCGGACGGGUGAGUAACACGUGGAUAACCUACCUAUAAGACUGGGAUAACUUCGGGAAACCGGAGCUAAUACCGUAUAAUAUUUUGAACCGCAUGGUUCAAAAGUGAAAUACGGUCUUGCUGUCACUUAUAGAUGGAUCCGCGCUGCAUUAGCUAGUUGGUAAGGUAACGGCUUACCAAGGCAACGAUGCAUAGCCGACCUGAGAGGGUGAUCGGCCACACUGGAACUGAGACACGGUCCAGACUCCUACGGGAGGCAGCAGUAGGGAAUCUUCCGCAAUGGGCGAAAGCCUGACGGAGCAACGCCGCGUGAGUGAUGAAGGUCUUCGGAUCGUAAAACUCUGUUAUUAGGGAAGAACAUAUGUGUAAGUAACUGUGCACAUCUUGACGGUACCUAAUCAGAAAGCCACGGCUAACUACGUG